rnacentral:rRNA from 1 species
GACGAACGCUGGCGGCGUGCUUAACACAUGUAAGUCGAACGGUAAGGCCCCUCGGGGUACACGAGUGGCGAACGGGUGAGUAACACGUGGGUGAUCUGCCCUGCACUUUGGGAUAAGCCUGGGAAACCGGGUCUAAUACCGGAUAGGACCACGCGCUUCAUGGUGUGUGGUGGAAAGCUUUUGCGGUGUGGGAUGGGCCCGCGGCCUAUCAGCUUGUUGGUGGGGUAAUGGCCUACCAAGGCGACGACGGGUAGCCGGGCGGAGAGGGGGUCCGGCCACACUGGGACUGGGAUACGGCCCAGACUCCUACGGGAGGCAGCAGUGGGGAAUAUUGCACAAUGGGCGCAAGCCUGAUGCAGCGACGCCGCGUGAGGGAUGACGGCCUUCGGGUUGUAAACCUCUUUCAGCAGGGACGAAGCGCAAGUGACGGUACCUGUAGAAGAAGCACCGGCCAACUACGUGCCAGCCGCCGCCGUAAGAC